rnacentral:rRNA from 1 species
UACGUAGGUGGCAAGCGUUAUCCGGAUUUACUGGGUGUAAAGGGCGUGUAGGCGGGACUGCAAGUCAGAUGUGAAAACUAUGGGCUCAACCCAUAGCCUGCAUUUGAAACUGUAGUUCUUGAGUACUGGAGAGGCAGGCGGAAUUCCGUGUGUAGCGGUGAAAUGCGUAGAUAUACGGAGGAACACCAGUGGCGAAGGCGGCCUGCUGGACAGCAACUGACGCUGAGGCGCGAAAGCGUGGGUAUCGA